ACCUACGGGAGGCAGCAGUCGGGAAUAUUGCGCAAUGGAGGAAACUCUGACGCAGUGACGCCGCGUAUAGGAAGAAGGUUUUCGGAUUGUAAACUAUUGUCGUGAGGGAAGAAAUUGACAGUACCUCAGGAGGAAGCUCCGGCUAACUAUGUGCCAGCAGCCGCGGUAAUACGUAGGGGGCAAGCGUUAUCCGGAUUUACUGGGUGUAAAGGGAGCGCAGGCGGCAGCGCAAGUCUGAUGUGAAAGCCCGGGGCCCAACCGCGGGACUGCAUUGGAAACUGCGCAGCUGGAGUGCCGGAGGGGUA
rnacentral:rRNA from 1 species